UGACAUCGGAAUAAGCCCGAGAAAUCGGGUCUAAUACCGAAUAAUCACUCUCGCGGACAUCUGCGAGAAUGCAAAGCUCCGGCGGUCAAGGAUGGGCUCGCGGCCUAUCAGCUAGUUGGUGAGGUAACGGCUCACCAAGGCUUCGACGGGUAGCCGGCCUGAGAGGGCGACCGGCCACACUGGGACUGAGAUACGGCCCAGACUCCUACGGGAGGCAGCAGUGGGGAAUAUUGCACAAUGGGCGAAAGCCUGAUGCAGCAACGCCGCGUGCGGGAUGACGGCCUUCGGGUUGUAAACCGCUUUCAGUACCGACGAAGCGAAAGUGACGGUAGGUGCAGAAGAAGGACCGGCCAACUACGUGCCAGCAGCCGCGGUGAUACGUAGGGUCCGAGCGUUGUCCGGAAUUAUUGGGCGUAAAGGGCUUGUAGGCGGUCCGCUGCGUCGGAAGUGAAAACUCAGGGCUUAACCCUGAGCCUGCUUCCGAUACGGGCGGACUAGAGGAAUGCAGGGGAGAAUGGAAUACCUGGUGGAGCGGUGGAAUGCGCAGAUAUCAGGUGGAACACCAGUGGCGAAGGCGGUUCUCUGGGCAUUUCCUGACGCUGAGAAGCGAAAGCGUGGGGAGCAAACAGGCUUAGAUACCCUGGUAGUCCACGCCGUAAACGGUGGGCACUAGGUGUGGGACUCAUUCCACGAGUUCCGUGCCGUAGCUAACGCAUUAAGUGCCCCGCCUGGGGAGUACGGCCGCAAGGCUAAAACUCAAAGGAAUUGACGGGGGCCCGCACAAGC
rnacentral:rRNA from 1 species